rnacentral:rRNA from 1 species
AACGAACGCUGGCGGCGCGCCUAACACAUGCAAGUCGAACGAGAGUCCGGGGCAACCCGGUAGUAAAGUGGCAAACGGGUGAGGAAUACAUGGGUAACCUACCCUUGAGAAGGGAAUAACCCGCCGAAAGGUGAGCUAAUACCCUAUACGCUAUCUUUUUUUCGAAAAGGAUAGGAAAGCCGGGUCGAGGACCUGGUACUCAAUGAGGGGCUCAUGUCCUAUCAGCUUGUUGGUGGGGUAACGGCCUACCAAGGCUACGACGGGUAGCUGGUCUGAGAGGAUGAUCAGCCACACUGGCACUGAGAUACGGGCCAGACUCCUACGGGAGGCAGCAGUGAGGAAUAUUGCGCAAUGGGCGAAAGCCUGACGCAGCGACGCCGCGUGGGGGAUGAAGGUUUUCGGAUUGUAACCCCUUUCAUGAGGAAAGAUAAGUGGGUAACCACUUAGACGGUACCUCAAGAAGAAGCCACGGCUAACUUCGUG